CCUACGGGAGGCAGCAGUCGGGAAUCUUGCGCAAUGGGCGAAAGCCUGACGCAGCAACACCGUGUGGGCGACGAAGGCCUUCGGGUUGUAAACCGCUUUCAGGAGGGACGAAGCCACUCGGGUUAAUAGCCCAGAGGGUGACGGUACCUCCAGAAGAAGCCCCGGCUAACUACGUGCCAGCAGCCGCGGUAAUACGUAGGGGGCGAGCGUUGUCCGGAAUUAUUGGGCGUAAAGAGCGUGUAGGCGGUUCGGUAAGUCUGCCGUGAAAACCUGGGGCUCAACCCCGGGCGUGCGGUGGAUACUGCCGGGCUAGAGGGUGGUAGAGGCGAGUGGAAUUCCCGGUGUAGCGGUGAAAUGCGCAGAUAUCGGGAAGAACACCCGUGGCGAAGGCGGUUCUCUGGGACGGUACUGACGCUGAGACGCGAAAGCGUGGGGAGCGAACAGGAUUAGAUACCCUGGUACUCCACGCCGGAAACGAUGGGUGCUACGUGUGGGCGUUGUCGACUCCGUCCGUGCCGAAACUAACGUAUUAAGCACGCCGGCUGGUGAGUACGUCCGACAGGUUAAAACCGACAGGAUUUUUCGGAGGCC
rnacentral:rRNA from 1 species